GGGUCCGGACACACUGAGGAUUGACAGAUAUACGUCGUGCGUUGAGCUCUCUCGGGGGCCGAGCGCAUGACUGAAAGAUGCUAGUUCUUUCAUGAUUAUGUGAUAGGUGGUGCAUGGCCGUUCUUAGUUCGUGGAGUGAUCUGUCUGCUUAAUUGCGUAUCAUAAAAAGAGACCUAGUAUACGCGUAAGAUAUCGUUUACGGUUCGUGACCCCCUUCGGGCGUGUGUCGCACGUACGUAUCAUACGCACUGGUCUCCGAUAGCAACGAACGUGACCGUACUCUAUUGUUGCAGCGAAUGUAUGCACCUCGGUGUAUCUACCGCUGCUUAGUGCGUAUGCGUACUUCGGUGCGUGUCGUACAUUAAACUAUAGAGACCGCUGUAUUUUCUUUAAACCAGAGGAAGGAUACGGCAAUAACAGGUCUGUGAUGCCCUCAGAUGUUCCGGGCGUGCUACAAUGAUCAUUGCACUGUGCAUCUAACCCAAUGUGCGUGGACGCCACGGUGAUACGUUUCGACCACGCCGAACCUACUUCGAAAGUAAAAUUUUUAAGUGGGU
rnacentral:rRNA from 1 species